CAGCAGCCGCGGUAAUACGAAGGGUGCGGGCGUUAAUCGGAAUUACUGGGCGUAAAGCGUGCGUAGGCGGUGAGUUAAGUCUGCUGUGAAAUCCCCGGGCUCAACCUGGGAAUGGCAGUGGAUACUGGCUCGCUAGAGUGUGUCAGAGGAUGGUGGAAUUCCCGGUGUAGCGGUGAAAUGCGUAGAGAUCGGGAGGAACGUCAGUGGCGAAGGCGGCCAUCUGGGACAACACUGACGCUGAGGCACGAAAGCGUGGGGAGCAAACAGGAUUAGAUACACCGGUAGUCCCUGUCUCUUAUAC
rnacentral:rRNA from 1 species